GUGGUGUUUAAAAUUUAUUUAUUCAAUAUUAAAGUAAGGAAAGUAUGAAAUAUUUACAACUGUAUGAACGAAACAACAACGUUUUCCAUAAAAUAUUUUUAAGGUGGCUUGAUACAAUUUUCAAAAAUUUCCGGUGUAAACAAUUUAUUUUAGUAAUGUUUCUUCUGUUACACACGUAAAAAUCUCACAACUUGUCAACAAGAUGUGUUCGCAACAAGCUUGUAGCAGGCUUGUCAACAGGUUGUAGCAGGCUUGUCAACAAGUUGUAACAAUGCUGUUGUUUUAUCAAGUUGCUACAAGGUUGUCACUCACAACUUGUUGACAAAUUGUUGAAUUGCAGGAUGAUAACAAGUUGUUGGAACAACUUGUAACAAGCCUGUUGAGGUCAAGAACCUUGUAGCAAGUUGAGUGUCAACAGCUGUUGUCAACAAGCUGCGGAAACGAAUGGGCACGCAGGAUUGUUCAUAUAAGCACGUAAAAACGCAAAACUUGUAACAAACCUGCAGCAGACAUGCUAACUAAUGCCUGGUUCACACUGGUCGUAAGAAUCGGGGAUUUCCAUUGUCUGUGGUCAUUGGUGUGCAAAAUGCUUUGUCUGUCGGAAAAGAAUACAAUAGAU